rnacentral:rRNA from 1 species
CACGUAGGGGACGAGCGUUGUCCGGAUUCAUUGGGCGUAAAGCGCGCGUAGGCGGCUCGGAAAGUCGGUCGUGAAAUGCCCGGGCUCAACCCCGGGACUGCGUCCGAUACUCCCGAGCUGGAGGCAGGUAGGGGAGAUCGGAAUUCCUGGUGUAGCGGUGAAAUGCGCAGAUAUCAGGAGGAACACCGGUGGCGAAGGCGGAUCUCUGGGCCUUGCCUGACGCUGAGGCGCGAAAGCUAGGGGAGCGAACAGG